AGUUGGUGGAGAUUCUUCUUCCUCGACUGUGCUGAUCUCAUCUGAGAACACCGAGUUCUGAGAGUUGAAAUAUAGUAUCAAGGUAAUGAGUUGUUUAUGGUGGGGAGAGUAGGUGGUGUCAUAGGUCCCACGCUUUAAUCAAAGGGAAUGAAUGCGACACACUGCUGCAAGACGACGGCGAAAGGACCAGAGAUACGUAGCUAUAUAUAAAGAUAGGAUUUUGAAGGAUCAUUGGUGUUGGUUAGUAGAAUCACACUUUCUUAUGAUCAAGUUGGACUGAGAACGAGUAAAGCUCGUGUACCAGUUUGCUCUUGUGGAGACGAUGUGUGCUUGUGGAUGACUGCAGCAUAUACCGCAUGCUCUUCAUCUUAGCAUUGUACUGAUGCAUUGACCUAAUCUCUCUUCCGGAACUUCUUGGACUAACUAAGACACGCGAGUUCCUCUGCAUCUUGUUGCUAAUC
rnacentral:lncRNA from 1 species